rnacentral:lncRNA from 1 species
AAUGUGGCCAGGAAUGUGAGACAGAAUGUGGCUCAGGAUUUCAAAAUUCACUGGAAAAAAACUCACAAAACAGAAACAUUUCAGUGGAAAUAACAGAGUCCUAUAUUAUGAUUUAGACAACAAGAAUUCUUGCCUCUGAUCUAUUGUGACCAAGUGUGUCAUCUUAGGGAGGUAUGGUCGUGAAGAGCACCGAUUACAGAAGGAGAAUUGCAACUGCUUUGCACCAAAGACAAGAGGCCAAAAGAAAGGCAUUCCUCAUCUUGAAAGCCUAGUUUUGAAAUCCCAGAGCCAAAAUUUGGACCCAAAGUGAUAGAUUUUUGAAAGCCUGCAUGUUGAAGACAAAAAAGUCCAUAUAGCCAGCACCUUCAAGAAGCAGAAGAUGAGUUUCUGAAGACAGAAGACCAUGUCUCAUUCAUCUGAACAUCUCCAGAACCUAACACAGAAUUAUUCUUAAAAAAUAUUUGUCAAAGUGAAUUACAGUCAUUCCUAGAGCCCUUAACUGGGUUAAACCCCUUUAGUGACAUGUGGAUUAUAGACUUUCCAAAUUUUAAGGAACUGUACUAUACCAUAUAAAUAGCACCAUUGGCCAUGCUUACCAUAUGAUCCAAUAGGUUGCACAGUGAAGCUCUGUAGUAUGCUCUUGCUAUGUGAUUUUUUUUAAUUUUACUUUAA